GAUGAACGCUGGCGGCGUGCCUAAUACAUGCAAGUCGAGCGAAUGGAUUAAGAGCUUGCUCUUAUGAAGUUAGCGGCGGACGGGUGAGUAACACGUGGGUAACCUGCCCAUAAGACUGGGAUAACUCCGGGAAACCGGGGCUAAUACCGGAUAACAUUUUGAACCGCAUGGUUCGAAAUUGAAAGGCGGCUUCGGCUGUUACUUAUGGAUGGACCCGCGUCGCAUUAGCUAGUUGGUGAGGUAACGGCUCACCAAGGCAACGAUGCGUAGCCGACCUGAGAGGGUGAUCGGCAACACUGGGACUGGGACACGGCCCAGACUCCUACGGGGGGAAGCAGGAGGGAAUCUUCCGCAAUGGACGAAAGUCUGACGGAGCAACGCCGCGUGAGUGAUGAAGGCUUUCGGGUCGUAAAACUCUGUUGUUAGGGAAGAACAAGUGCUAGUUGAAUAAGCUGACACCUUGACAGUACCUAACCAGAAAGCCACGGCUAACUACGUGCCAGCCGCCGCAGUAA
rnacentral:rRNA from 1 species